rnacentral:rRNA from 1 species
AGUGAACGCUGGCGGUAGGCCUAACACAUGCAAGUCGAACGGCAGCACAGUAAGAGCUUGCUCUUACGGGUGGCGAGUGGCGGACGGGUGAGGAAUACAUCGGAAUCUACUUUUUCGUGGGUGAUAACGUAGGGAAACUUACGCUAAUACCGCAUACGACCUACGGGUGAAAGCAGUCGAUCUUCGGACCUUGCGCGUUUGUUUUAGCCGAUGUCGGAUUAGCUAGUUGGCUGGGUAAAGGCCCACCAAGGCGACGAUCCGUAGCUGGUCUGAGAGGAUGAUCAGCCACACUGGAACUGAGACACGGUCCAGACUCCUACGGGAGGCAGCAGUGGGGAAUAUUGGACAAUGGGCGAAAGCCUGAUCCAGCAAUACCGCGUGGGUGAAGAAGGCCUUCGGGUUGUAAAGCCCUUUUGUUGGGAAAGAAAAGAAGCAGGUUAAUACCCCGCUGUUCUGACGGUACCCAAAGAAUAAGCACCGGCUAACUUCGUG